AUUGAACGCUGGCGGCAUGCUUUACACAUGCAAGUCGAACGGCAGCGCGGGCUUCGGCCUGGCGGCGAGUGGCGCACGGGUGAGUAAUGCAUCGGAACGUGCCCAGUAGUGGGGGAUAGCCCGGCGAAAGCCGGAUUAAUACCGCAUACGACCUGCGGGUGAAAGCGGGGGACCGAAAGGCCUCGCGCUAUUGGAGCGGCCGAUGUCGGAUUAGCUAGUUGGUGGGGUAAAGGCUUACCAAGGCGACGAUCCGUAGCUGGUCUGAGAGGACGACCAGCCACACUGGGACUGAGACACGGCCCAGACUCCUACGGGAGGCAGCAGUGGGGAAUUUUGGACAAUGGGGGCAACCCUGAUCCAGCCAUGCCGCGUGCGGGAAGAAGGCCUUCGGGUUGUAAACCGCUUUUGUUCGGGAAGAAAUCCUCUGGGCUAAUACCCCGGGGGGAUGACGGUACCGGAAGAAUAAGCACCGGCUAACUACGUG
rnacentral:rRNA from 1 species